UACGUAGGGUGCAAGCGUUAAUCGGAAUUACUGGGCGUAAAGCGUGCGCAGGCGGUUUUGUAAGACUGUCGUGAAAUCCCCGGGCUUAACCUGGGAAUGGCGAUGGUGACUGCAAGGCUAGAGUGUGUCAGAGGGGGGUAGAAUUCCACGUGUAGCAGUGAAAUGCGUAGAUAUGUGGAGGAAUACCGAUGGCGAAGGCAGCCCCCUGGGAUAACACUGACGCUCAUGCACGAAAGCGUGGGGAGCAAACAGG
rnacentral:rRNA from 1 species